UAGCAUAUCAAUAAGCGGAGGAAAAGAAACCAACAGGGAUUGCCCCAGUAACGGCGAAGUGAAGCGGCAACAGCUCAAAUUUGAAAUCUGGCCCCAGGCCCCGAGUUGUAAUUUGCAGAGGAUGCUUUUGGCGCGGUGCCUUCCGAGUUCCCUGGAACGGGACGCCAUAGAGGGUGAGAGCCCCGUACGGUUGGACACCAAGCCUUUGUAAAGCUCCUUCGACGAGUCGAGUAGUUUGGGAAUGCUGCUCUAAAUGGGAGGUACAUUUCUUCUAAAGCUAAAUAUUGGCCAGAGACCGAUAGCGCACAAGUAGAGUGAUCGAAAGAUGAAAAGCACUUUGAAAAGAGGGUUAAACAGCACGUGAAAUUGUUAAAAGGGAAGCGCUUGUGACCAGACUUGCGUCCGGUGAAUCACCCAGCUCUCGCGGCUGGGGCACUUCGCCGGCACAGGCCAGCAUCAGCUUGCCGUCGGGGACAAAAGCUUCAGGAACGUGGCUCCUCUCGGGGAGUGUUAUAGCCUGUUGCACAAUACCCUUCGGCGGGCUGAGGUACGCGCUCCGCAAGGAUGCUGGCGUAAUGGUCAUCAGCGACCCGUCUUGAAACACGGACCAAGGAGUCAACCUUAUGUGCGAGUGUUUGGGUGUUAAACCCCUACGCGUAAUGAAAGUGAACGCAGGUGAGAGCUUCGGCGCAUCAUCGACCGAUCCUGAUGUUCUCGGAUGGAUUUGAGUAAGAGCAUAUAGGGUUGGACCCGAAAGAAGGUGAACUAUGCGUGUGUAGGGUGAAGCCAGAGGAAACUCUGGUGGAGGCUCGCAGCGGUUCUGACGUGCAAAUCGAUCGUCAAACAUGCGCAUGGGGGGCGAAAGACUAAUCGAACCUUCUAGUAGCUGGUUUCCGCC
rnacentral:rRNA from 1 species